rnacentral:lncRNA from 1 species
UUUCACUUAAUUCGAGGCUCCAAACAAAUAAACGAAGGUCAAAUUUGGAUUCCGGAGGUCCGAAAACCUUAAGAUCAAUCAAGAUCAGCUUAAAAUUGGGCUUGUGUAAAAAAAAUUGAUUUUUCCUGUUGACCGAGCACUGAUUGGAUGAUGAAAUGAGCUUACAAUGGAUAUGAGUGCAUGGGAUAGCUGACAAUUUUGACUAAAUCUCAACCGUUCAUAAUUCAAUGGCCAUGAUUGUGCCACGUGGCAAUGGUUGGUGAAGCAAGUUGUAGGAUUUGAAUCUUUGUAUUCGGGUCGAUCCGAUCCACCCAUUAACCCGCCAAAUCUCAACCGUUCUUUGGCCAAAUCGAACGAGUCAAAUGAUGCCACGUGUGAUAUUGACUUUUGAAGUUUGACCAGCUGUUGGAUCUUGAUCUAAUGGUUGUGAGGAGCACAUGCAUGAAGCUUAUGAUGGAUCGCAAAAUAUUGGAUUAUGAAUUUAUUUUCUAUAAAUAGAGCCUCAUUUUUAUGUUUUUAAUCAUCUCUCUACAACUCUCUUAUUCUCAAAUUCUCUCCAUCUCCCUGUAAUCUUGAUUUUCAGGUGUGUGUGUGUGUUUUUUUUAAUAUUUUGUAUAAUUAUUUUUAUAAAUAAAAUUAGUUUUAUUUCCAAUUUUAGAUGUUUUUAUUACUUUUAAUUAUAAGUAAUUCAAUUUUACUACAUCUUUUUAUUUCAAUUAUGCUUGACUAAAUAAUAUUAGUUAGGGGAAGGUGAAACUCUUAGGAAAUAAAUAUGAUUUAAACAAAUUCUAUUUUUAAUUUUAUAAAUUAAAUUAUUUUCUAUUUAAUUUUAUACAUAUUUUAUAUUUUGAAAUUUUGAUUUAUUGUAGACAAACAAAUGAAUUUGGCACAAUAAAUUCUUAGUAUCUUAAUAUAAGGUAUGGUAAAAUUGUAUUUUGACUUAUUGUAGACAAAUUAAAUUUUGGCACAAUAAAUACUUAAUCCAUCAUAAAAUUAAAGGGAAAAUAAUAAUAAUUUAUAUAAUUAAUCUUUUGGGCAAUAAAUCUUAAAAAAAGAGCAAAAAGAAUUUAUUAAAUUUUAUUUACUACUAAGAGUGGAUCUACAACCCUAACUAGUUCAAUUUCAUAGUUUCAUUUAAAUUAAGUUGUUUAUAUUCAAGUUUUAAUUUCAAUUUUUAGUUAAAAUAAAAUAAACAAAUUAAAUAUUUUCUCCGUGAAUCGACCUCGGACUCACCAAGUUAUAAUACAACAAGAUACUCUUAUACUUGAGAGUUAAAAAUUACUUUUAAGUUGUGUCAAGUUUUUGGCGCCGUUGUCGGGGAAAAAAGUUUUUAUUUUGCUUUAUUUUUCAGUUUUUGAUUUUUCUCUUUGUGUAAAUUUUCGAUUUUUCUCUUUGUGUAAAUUUUCGUGUGCCCCCUUUUCCUUUUCCUAAAUUCUCUUUUGUCCCCACAUCUUUCAUAAUUCUAGUUUCACCCCAACAAUUCUCGUUUCUGGCUCAUUCUUCUCAUAAUUAUAUUUGGACCCCAUUAUCUUUAAGAAGUUUUACUUUCAUCCAAAAUGGCUCAAUUCUAAACUUCUAAAAAUUACAGUGUUGCCAUAAAUUAAAAAUAAUUUGCAAUAGGAUCCCUAGACGAAAUUCCUCAAAAUAAUCAAGACUUGGACUUAUAUCUUGGACAUACUCUGGACAUAUUUUGGAUAUUUUUGGACUUAUUUUGGGCUUAAUUUGGACCAAACUAACUCUAACUACUAACUCUUAACUUACUAACUGCUAACUCCUAACUUUUUUUUUAUUUCAGUUAUUUAAUUUUCUAUAUUUAUUUUAUUUCGUAUUUAUUUAUUUAUGCUUUAUUGGUGGGUUCAACCACCAAAUUAACUACUAACUCUUAAUUUUUAUUUUCAGUUAUUUAAUUUUCAGUAUUUAUUUAAUUUUGUAUUUAAUUUUUCUUUAUUUUUUUAUUGCUGGGUUCAACCACCAUUUUUUAGUUAUUUUAUUAUUUUGUAUUUAUUUUUAUUUAUUUAUUUACUUAUUGCUUUAUUGGUGGGUUCAACCACCAAAAUUAUUAUUUAAUUUUAGUUUUAAUUUUCUUUUGUACACUUAUAUUAUUUGCAUAUUUAAUUUUUUUUAUUUAGUUUUUUUAUUUUGUUAUUAAUUUGUGUGAAUAUUAUCUUUGUAACAUAACCAUUACAUGAGACGUUGGUCUCGAUCUUCAAGUGGCAGGUUAAUUCGUAGAUCUCAAUCUCCACCACCAAUCAUGAAUGAGAACCAAGACGAAAACUUUGUGCACGAACAUAAUCCUCAGAUUGAUCAGGGAGAUAAUCAUUCUGAACAUGGGCAUGAUCAGAAUCAACCAAGAACUCUGAGAGACUACAUGAAUCCAACCAGAGCUGGAGCACCGUCAUGUAUAGUAUUCCCUCCAGAAGCAUCUCGAUUCAACUUUAAACUAGGUAUUAUCCAACUUUUACCAACAUUUCAUGGUUUAGAAUCUAAGAAUCCAUACUUAAAUCUAAGAGAUUAUGAGGAAGUUUGUAAUACAUACACGGACCAAAAUUGUAACAUGAACAUAAUUAGAUUAAAGCUUUUUCCUUUUUCAUUAAAAGAUAAAGCUAAAGCUUGGCUAUAAAACCUUAGAUCUGGAUCAGUAAGAACUUGGAAUAACAUGCAAGAAUAGUUUUUGAAAAAAUUCUUUCCACCUCAUAGAACAAAUUCUUUUAAAAGGCAAAUCACUUCCUUCACUUAAAAAAAUGGAGAAAUAUUAUACCAAUGCUGGGAUAGGUUUAAAGAGUUGCUUAACAUAUGUCCACAUCAUGGUUUUGGAACUUGGCGGUUGGUCACUUACUUCUACAAGGGCUUAAUAUCCCAAAGUAGACAAGUUGUUGAAAUGAUGUGUAAUGGUGAAUUUAGGGAUAAAAAUCUUGAGGAUACACUAGAUUCCUUGACCAAUUAGCUGAAAAUGCACAAUAUUGGGAUUCUGUUGGAACUUUUGAAUUGGAAAAUAAGCAACAACCAUCUCCAUCUAGUGGAGGAAUCCAUAACCUUAGGGAAGAUCAUGAUUUAAAGCAAAAUUUGCAUCCCUAGUUAGAAAGGUUGAAGCUUUGGAGUAUAAAAAAAGUGAUCAAGUAAAAUUUGUUCAAGAAAUUGCAUGUAACAUAUGUUAGUUCGAAUGAUCAUUUCACUCAAGAUUGUCCCACUCUACCUGCACUUAAAGAAUGUCUAAAUGAUUAAGCUAAUGUCAUUAACACUUUUAAUAAACCAAACCCAUAUUCACAGACUUAUAAUCCUGGUUGAAGAAAUCAUCCGAAUUUCAGUUGGAGGAAAAAUAAUAAUGCACAAUCUUCACAAGCACCACCUCCACAAAAUUUUCAAAAUGCUCAGCCUUAUGCACCAUAUGUUCCACCACCAUGGAAAAAUCUAGAAGACACAAUACAUUCAUUCAUCAGAAAGAAAUAUGUUAUUAACAAUCAAAAUGCACAAACUUUUUUUGAUUUGAAAGAUAUUCUUGCUAAAAUUGCUUCUGCACUCACAAUUCAAGAAAAAGGAAAAUUUCCAGCCCAACCACAACCAAAUCCUAAGAUUCAACAAAAUUCACCCACAGACCAAGUCAAGUUAGUUAUAACUCUUCGUAGUGGUAAGGUUGUUGAUAGACCUAUGCCUAAACCUUGUGAAAAUGAUGAAAAUUCAAAGAGUAAGGAAGGACUAAAUAAACUUACACCUGAUGAAGAAAUAACUAGUGUUCCACUUGAACCACCAUUUCCGCAUGCAUUGAAUAAACCAAGGAAAUCAAACCACUCUUCUAAAAUUUAUGAAAUCUUUAAGCAAGUGAAGUUAACAUUCCUUUAUUAGAUGCAAUCAAGCAGGUACCUUCAUAUGCUAAAUUUUUAAAGGACUUGUGCACUGUUAAGAGGAAAUUGAAGAUAAGAAAGAGUGCUUUCAUGGUCGAACAGGUAAGUACAAUUUUGUCUACUAAUAAUAAGUUGAAAUAUAAAGAUCCUAGUUGUCCUACUAUUUCUUGUAUUAUUGGUGAUCACAGAAUUGAGCAUGCUUUACUAGAUCUUGGUGCUAGUGUUAAUUUGCUUCCAUAUUUAGUUUAUCUUCAACUUAAUCUUGGUGAGUUAAAAUCAACUUAAACUACACUUUUGCUUGCCGAUAGAUCAGUUAAAGUACCAAAAGGAAUAGUGGAAGAUGUUUUAUUACAAGUUGAUAAAUGCAUUUAUCCUGUGGAUUUUAUUGUCUUGGAAACUAAACCUGUUGUGAAUAAUUACAAACCAAUUCCUAUAAUUUUAGGUCAACCAUUUUUAGCAACUGCUAAUGCUUUGAUUAAUUGUAGGAAUGGUUUAAUGAAUUUAUCAUUUGGAAAUAUGACUUUGGGAUUGAAUGUUUUUAACAUGUGCAGACAACUUAAUAAAGAAAAUGAGAAUGAAGAUGAUACUGAUGAAAAAAAAGAAUUGCUUGAAUCUUGUAUUGAGGAAAAUAUUCAAAAAGGGGAUUUUUUUGAACUCUCUAAUGUUUGUUUAGUUAAUUCAAUUGAGUCAAAUAAGUAACUUGAACUUGAUAUUCUAAUAUAAAUUCGUUGCUUGAUUCUAUGCAGACUUCACAAAAUUAUGAUGAUAAGCUAAAAUUUGAGGAGCUUGGAAGUAUUGAAAAGACAGAACAACAAGAAGCACCUAAAGUGGAAUUGAAACAUUUGCCUAAAGGAUUGAAAUAUGGUUUUCUUGGAGAAGAACAAACUUAUCCUAUUGUGAUUUCUUCUACUUCAAUAAGUGACCAAGAAGGUAAGUCACUAACUGUUUUUAAAAAGCAUAAAAAUUCAAUUGGAUGGACUUUAAAUGAUAUUAAAGGCAUUAAUCCCUUAAUAUGCACACAUAGAAUUAACUUGGAAGAAAAUGCUAAAACAUGUCAACAACUUCAAAGAAGAUUAAACCCACACAUGAAAGAAGUAGUCAAAACAGAAGUCCUUAAAUUGCUUAAUGUGGGAAUUAUCUACCAUAUUUCUGAUAGUAAGUGGGUAAGUCCUACACAAGUAGUGCCUAAAAAAAUCUGAAAUCACUAUUGUUAAAAAUAAAAAAGGUGAAUUAAUUCCAACACGAAUUACAUUUAGUUGGCUCAUGUGCAUUGAUUAUAGAAAGUUAAAUGAAGCCACUAGAAAAGAUAAUUUUCCAUUACUAUUCCUUGACCAAAUCUUAGAAAGAGUAGCUGGACAUCCCUACUACUGUCUUUUAGAUGGAUAUUCAGGUUAUUAUCAAAUUCCUAUAGCACUUGAGGACCAAGAAAAGACCACAUUUACAUGUCCUUUUGGAACAUUUGCAUUUAAAAGAAUGCCAUUUGGGCUUUGUAAUGCUCCUGCAACAUUUCAAAGAUGUAUGUUAAACAUUUUUUGUGAUAUGGUUAAACAUUGUUUAGAGGUAUUUAUGGAUGAUUUGACUGUGUUUGGAAAUUCUUUUGAUGAUUGCCUCGAUAAUUUGGGAAAGUUUUGAGAAGAUGUGUUGAAAAAAAACUCGUGUUGAAUUGGGAAAAAUGUCACUACAUAGUUACUUCUGGAAUUGUUUUAGGUCAUGUUGUUUCUGUUAAAGGAAUUGAAGUUGACAAAGCAAAAAUCGAAGUCAUAUCUAAAUUGCCACAACCAAAAACAAUUAGAGAUGUGCAACCCUUUUUAGGACAUGUAGGAUUUUAUAGGAGGUUUAUAAAAAACUUUAGUGCCAUAUUUAAACCACUUUGUAACCUCUUAUUAAAAGAUGUACUGUUUGAAUGGAAUGAUGAUUGUCAAAAAUCUUUUGAGAAAAUAAUUUGUCUUUUAACAUAUGCACCUAUUAUGCAAUCUCCUGAUUGUUCUUUGCCAUUUGAAUUAAUGUGUGAUGCAAGUGAUUUUGCUAUUGAUGCUGUUUUAGGACAAAGAAGGGAUGGUAAGCCUUUUGUGAUUUAUUAUGCGAGUAAGACUUUGAAUAGUGCUUAAAUGAAUUAUUCUACGACUGAAAAAGAAUUACUUGUUGUGGUAUUUGCAUUAAACAAAUUUCGUUCAUAUUUGCUUAGCUCUAAAUAUGUUGUGUUUACUGACCACACUGCUGUGAGAUAUUUAAUGAGUAAACAAGAUGUCAAACCGAGAUUAAUUCGUUGGAUUUUGUUACUUCAAGAAUUUGACCUUACCAUCAAAGAUAAAAAGGGUGCUGAAAAUGUCAUUGCUGAUCAUCUAUCAAGACUCAUAUCUGAAUUCUGCACUGAUAUAACAUCCAUCAAUGAUUCUUUCCUUGAUGAAUUUUUAUUUUUUGUUACUUCAAUGCCAUGGUAUACUAACAUUGUUAAUUUCCUUAUUACAAGUAAAAUGCCUUUGCAAUGGAAUGCUCAAGAGAAGAAGAAAUUUUUUGUUUAAGUAAAGAAAUUUUAUUGGGAUGACCCUUAUUUGUUCAAAUAUUGCCCAGAUCAAAUUUUUCGGCGAUGUAUUCCUGAUAAUGAGGUAAGUAGCGUCAUUAAUUUUUGUGAUUCUGAAGCAUGUGGUGGACACUUUUCUUCAAGAAAAACUACUGCUAAAAUUUUACAGUGUGGAUUUUAUUAGCCUAUCAUGUUCAAAGACACAUAUGAAUUUCGCAAAACUUGUGAAAAAUGUCAAAAAUUAGGAUCAAUUACAAAAAGAAACAUGAUGCCCUUAAUUCCCAUACUUGAAAUUGAAAUAUUUGACUGUUGGGGAAUUGAUUUCAUGGGUUCAUUUCCAUCAUCUUUUGGAUUUGUGUAUAUAUUAGUUGCAGUUGAUUAUAUCUCCAAAUGGAUUGAAGUAAUUUCUUGUCGAAAUAAUGAUAGUAAAACUGUGGUUAAAUUUUUAAGAGAAAACAUUUUAAGUCGAUUUGGAAUCUCUCGAGCCAUUAUUAGUGAUGGAGGUAAGCAUUUUUGUAAUAAGUAAUUUGACUCUUUAAUGAAGAAAUAUGAAAUUACACAUAAAGUUGCUACCCCUUAUCAUCCUUAAACAAACAGUCAAGUUGAAUUAGCAAAUAGGGAGAUAAAACAAAUUUUGGAAAAAACAGUUAACCCAAACCGAAAAGAUUGAUCUCUUAGACUUAAUGAUGCACUUUGAGCUUACCGUACUGCAUUUAAAACGUCAUUAGGAAUGUCAUUUACCUGUUGAACUUGAACAUAAAUCACUUUGGGCUAUUAAAGCUUUUAAUUCAAAUUUGGAUGAUGCUGGUAAUGUGCGAAAUGCAAUUGAAUGAACUUGAGGAAUUAAGGAAUGGUGCAUAUGAAAAUUCAAGAAUUAUUAAGGCAAAAACAAAAGCAUUUCAUGAUAAAAGAAUUUUCGAAAAACAUUUGAGAUUGGUCAAAAAGUGUUGCUUUAUAAUUCUCGUCUUCAUUUAUUUUCAGGGAAGUUAAAGUCAAAAUGGAGUGGCCCAUUUGUUGUAAAAAAAUGUAUAUUCAUAUGGGGCUAUAGAAAUUGAGAAUCCAAAUAACGGUAUCACAUUUAAAGUUAAUGGUCAAAGAUUAAAACCAUAUCUGGAACAUCACCCACGUGACGAGGACACCGAAAUUAAUUUGGGUGACCCACCAGUUCUUAAUUAAGUCUUUAAUGAUUGAUUUUUUUUUGUUUUACUAUUAUUUUGCUGUUUCAUUGUUUGAUUUUUUUUCUCUAGAUUGAUGCACUGUACAUAUUUUUUUUAACGUUAUUUUUUUUGUGCAAGCGUGCUUGUUUGACAGUUGUACAUUCUCUCAUCAAUUUUCAUUUUACAUCAUGAGCACCUCAAUGAGAAAAUUCUUGUUCACACAUCUUAAAAGAUAUUUGCGUGUGAAAUUUCACUUAAGAGGCCUGAUAUAAAACUGUAAAUCACAUCCACUUUGGGAUCUGCAACCACCGGAAUUUGUGUCCUAUGUUGAGGAUCUAGAAAUACAACUAAGAGAAAUAGAGCGUGGCAUAUAUGAAUUUCAAUUGGAGCUUGAGGUUAACUAAAUGAGAGGACGAAUGUAAGUUCAUUUAUUUUUAUUUUUUUACAUUAUGUGUUUCUUUUUGUUUGCUUUCACUUUUGAUUUGAUUUUGCAGAUUUGAUUUUGGUGUGUUUUGAUUUAUUUUCCCAUAUAAAUGGUGGAUAACGGUACUCCGUGACUUCUUAAGUUGGUAUCUUUAGUUUCCCAUAAUAACUGAAAUCCCAAAAUCAAACAUGAAAGAAAUACAACAUAAACUGCAUAAGCAUUUUCCCUCUCUCCCUCAGAAUGCCCUUAGGAAAAUUUACUAAGCUCGUUGUGAACGACUGCAUUUGUUAAUGAUCAAUGGCAUUCCUUCUGACAUUCGUUGGUUAAUUGAAGCAAAUGUCCGAUUAGCAGGUGAGUUUUCUGAUCCAUUUGUUUCUUUCAUGCCUGGUUUUGGUAAAAGCACAUUUGCUAAGAAAAUGAGAGUUAAAAGACUUGGCUCAAAAUGUCAUAACUGUGUACGACUUAAUUGCAAUCAGUCGAAUUAUAAAUCUUUAGGAAUGGUUUCUGAUACUCGUGAAGAUAAAAUUAAAUUCGUUAAAGAUGGCAUAAGUAAAGAAUCAGUGGAUGAUAUCUUACGAUCUCUUGAGACGCAUCAAAGUGGAUUUGUGCAACGUGAGAUUCAUAAUUUGUGGAUACUAUUCCAAAAAGAAAGUGUAUAGUUUAGUCUUGGGAAUCUGACUCAAAAAGACCCUGUUUGCCAGUUUAUAAGAAAAUUAGAUGGGAAGCCUAUCCUCGACCCAUAGAGGGCAUUCAAGCAGUUACUGGACAUAAAACCAGAGGAAAAUGUGAGCCACAAUCACAACUACCAAUAAAUAUCAUUUUACUUCACUGUUAUUUUAUCAUUUGCAUUAUUGCAUUUAGCGGUGUGAUUUUGUAUUUAAUAAAUAUUUGUUUUCUUUUACUGUUUGCUUUUUCUAAUUAUUAUUUUCUUUUUUAUUGUUUGCUUUUGCAUUAUUGAGUCACAAGCUUUACUCGUCAUUUGACAAAUAUGCCAACCCAUUUACAACUGUUUCUCAUUAUUUCUGUCACUAAGAUCUUUAAAUAUGAGCUCAUUUUUCAAACACUCACAACUUAUUUUUGAAAGAUUAGUCCAAUGGCAGCAUCUGUUAGCCUAAAGGGCUGUACAUAAUGUAAUUUUGAUGAUAACAAACAUAUGUAUUGAAUGAUUUAAUAAAUAUUAUAUUUCACAUUUUCACUAGUUUUUGAAGGAUAAUAUUUAUGCAAGUGAAUCAAGUGAAAUCAAGAUUGAAGACACUCAACGGACAACGACGACAUCAAGAAUAUCGUUUAAAGCUUAACGAACAAAUUAGUGCGAUAAAUUCUUGUAAAGCCGGUAUGAUUUAAUUGAUGCAUGAUUUAGCAUUUGAGAAGCUCAAGAGAUUAAUUUAAUUAAAUACUUUUCAUAAACUAAAAGGUUUUGUUUUUAUAAAGUAAAGUAUUUUGUGGAUUUGAGUAAAUUGGACUUAAAUGCUAAGAUUUGAAAUCUUUGAUUUUAAUAAGUAUUAAAAUUUGGAGUUGGACGUUUUUACAAACAUUUGAAAUGUUUUGGGCCAUACUAUAAUUUAUGAAUAUUUUGGACUAAAGUGAAAGGUUUUGAGAACUUUGAAAAAUAUAGGUAUUAUGUUGAAAAGGACCUUUGUGUGAAACAAUAAAAUCUUUGGGGCCAUAUCAUAAUUUCAGAAAGUUUGAGAAAGACAACUAUUUUUAUGAAGUUCUGAAAUUGGACCUAUUUGCAAAGUUUUUUGACGUUUUGGGCCAUAGUAUAAUUAUAGAAAGUUUUGGGCUAAAGUGUAAUUUUAGUGAACAAUAUUACUGUAGCAAAAUUCAAAAAUAACGGUAAUAUUACUGUUCCUGAGCGGCUAGCCGGAUAAUCAAGCGGCUGACCGCUUGAGCACUGGAAUUUGCCUAUAAUGGCUAGUUUUUGGGCUUUCACUAUAAAAACUCAACUCAAACUUCAUUUUAAGAACUAACACAAGCAAAUAUAAGAUCAUAUAACAUAUAUUGAGCUUCCAUUUCGUAAAUCAUUAUUUGUUGAAUCAUCAUUGAGUUAUAAUUUGUUAUUCACUCUUCAAGAGAGUUUUAUUAUUGUGAAUUUCAUUUCUCAUCAAUUUGUGAGUGUACAAGUGUGGGAAACACUUGGGGUGAAGAGAUUGGGGAUAUAAUCUCUUGUUGUAAAGGUUUAUUGACACCUUGAAAGUCAAUUGUAAACAUUUGAAGCCUUGGGAGGCUUGGAUAGUGAAAUCCUCGAGCUCGGUUGGCUUGGAGGCGUGGACGUAGGCGGGGAUAGCCGAACCACGUAAAAAUCCUUGUGUUCGUUUUCUCUUCCCUUAAUCUUUUAAUAUUGUGCUUGAAUGAAUUUAUUGUUUUGAUUUAAUUAAGGCAAUAGAUUAAAUUGUUGUGCGAAUUGUAUUGCAUAAAUUUUUAAUAUCCCAAUUCACCCCCCCUCUUGGGUUGCAUAACUUGCAUUUCAUUUGGUAUCAGAGCGAGGUGCUCUUGUGUAGACUUAACCGUCUAGAGUUAAAGAUCCAUGGCAACCCAUAAUGACUCUACCUUUAGGGAAGGACAAUCCACAAUUAGACCACCGUUCUUUGAUGGUAAUGACUACCCAUAUUGGAAAACUAGGAUGAGAAUUUAUUUACAAGCUUUAGAUUAUGAAAUUUGGGAAAUUGUUUGUGAUAGUCCAUUUAUGCCUUUGACUAAAAAUGAAGUCGGGGAAGAUAUUCCAAAACCUUCACGGGAAUGGAAUGAAUUGGAAAAGAGAAAAGCUUCUCUAAAUUCCAAAGCCAUGAAUGCCUUGUUUUGUGCACUUGAUAAGAAAGAGUUUCAUAGAGUGUCUAGUUGUGAAAGUGCUAAUGAAAUUUGGCACAAACUUGAAGUUGUUUAUGAAGGCACAAAUCAAGUGAAAGAGUCUAAAAUUAGUAGGUACACUCAACAAUAUGAACUAUUUCAAAUGGAACAAAAUGAGAGUGUGUAUUCUAUGUAUACUAGAUUUACGGACAUAGUGAACACUCUAGGAGCCCUAGGAAAGACCUUUUUAAAUAGCGAGAAAGUUAAGAAAAUCAUUAGGUCGCUACCUAAGGAAUGGAGACCAAAAAGGACUGCCAUCGAGGAAGCCAAAGAUUUAAAUAUUUUACCUAUUGGUGAUUUAAUUGGUUCUCUUAUUUCUUAUGAGGAAGACUUGGCAGCCGAAAGAGGCAAUGAGGAGAAGAAGAAAAGCAUUGCUCUCAAAGCCUUGAAACAUGAAAGUGAUGAGGAAAGCGAGCUGGAUGAGGAGGAAAUGGAUAUGCUGGCUAGGAGGCUUAGAAAAAUUUUUAAGAAAUCUGGUGAGCAAAGAAAAUCUAGAGACCUCAAGAACCGAAAGGAGAAGAAAGAAGUAAUCAAAUGUUAUGAGUGCAAGAAGCCCGGUCAUAUAAGAAUGGAAUGCCCUCUUCUCAACAAGCUCAAGAAGAGAGCAAUGGUAGCCACAUGGGAUGAUAGCGAUGAGGAAACAAGUGAUGGUGAAGAGCAUCAAGAAAUGACAAAUCUAGCUCUCAUGGCAAUUGGAGAUGAAUCGGAUGAUGAACUUGAUGAGGUAAAUGAUCUUUCUACUUAUGAUGAAUUAUAUGAUGCUUUUAAAGAAUUGCAUGAUAAUUGGAUAAAAAUUGGUAAAAAGAAUGCAUGUCUUAAAAAGAAAAUUGUAAAGCUCACAAAUGAGAAUGAAUCUCUAAGUGCAAAGAUUACAUGCCUAGAAUUAGAUAAUAAAACAUUGCAUGAUAGAGUUGCAUUGUCAAAUGAGAAACCUAGCACUUCACAUGAGCAUCUAGAAUCAUAUGUAGAUGACUUGAAAAAUGAAGAGGAUUCUUUACAAAAAUACAAUGAUUCAUUAAAUGAAAAGAUUAAAGAACUAGAGUUAGAUAAUAAAAUGUUGCAUGAUAGAAUUGCAUCAUGUAAAAGCAAACAAAGUACUUCACAUGAGCAUGAGAAAUCACAUGUUGAUGAAUUAAUGAAAGAAAAUGAAGUGCUUAAGAAGAAGAGUAAUGAGCUAAAUCAAAUUGUGUUAAAAUUCACAAAUGGGCAAAAGAUGUUGGAUAACUUACUUAAUUCACAAAAAUGUGUGUUUGAUAAAGUAGGUAUUGGUUAUAAGCCAAAUUUGAAACAAAAAUAUUAUAAGAGCUAUUUUGUUAAAACUACCUCCAUUAAUGAUCAAAUUGUAUGUCAUUAUUGCAAUCAAAAUGGUCACAUGAAGAAUAGAUGUCCAGUGAAAAGAAAUGCAUAUUAUGGAGCAAAAUGUAUUUGGGUUCCAAAAGGAACCAUUGUUAACACUCAAGGAUCCAAGAAUAUUUGGGUACCAAAGCACACAACUUGAAUUUGUUCUGUAGGUACCACAAUCAAGGAAUCGUGGAGAAGUUCCUUGAUGAAAGCUUGUGAGGAUAAUCAUUUGAGCAUGAUCUAGGAGAAAAAGAUGAGGCAAGAUGAUUUAAUUGUUUUGGUAAUAAUUCUUGCCAUAUUAAUUUUGUUGAAUGAAUCAUGAUAAAUGAAUUUGCGAAGGUAUGCUUGUAUAUUUACAUGAUUGAAUUAUCAUUGUGUUUAACAUUGAGUGUUUUAUCAUGAUGCAAGGUUAUUUAUAUAUGAUGAUAGCUUAUCAACUCAUCAUGAUGGAUUUGUUUGAUGAUAAUGUUUAUGAAGUGUUUAAGCAUGAUAGUUAAGUGGUGUGUUUGAUUUAUUAACUUUUGAAUGUUUAUAUGUUUAAUUAUUGUGAAAAUCCCAAGUCUGCACAAGCUGUAAUGAAUUGGUCAUAACUCCUUCUAGAGAACUCCAAAUCUAGCUCUGUAAAAUUUAUUGGAAAGCUAACUUAAUUAUCUUUCCAACGGUAUAUAGCUUGCAUGUUAAUUCUGGCUCAAUCAAUACAGUUUUUAUUCCGAAGUUGACCUUUCUGCAUUUUAUUAAGUUUUGAAUGCUUAUAUGCUUCAUGAUUGUAUGCUUGUUGGAUGGAUUAUUUGUUUAAUUAAUUAUCUUUUGGAUGUUUAAAAUCAUGAAUCAUGCAUUAAAUUGGCUCUUGAGAUGUUUCGGGAUCACAAAAUGAUAACGAAAUUGAUUGAAACAAGCCGGAAAGCAAGUAGAGUGCAAGUGGACAGCAACCAGGCGGCUAGCCGCUUGGAAAACUGUCCCAAACCCGAGAGCAAGCGGCUAGCCGCUUGGUCACUGGUUGGGCAAUUUUUUAUUUUUUUUUGGCUUCUUCUUCUUCGUUUGCUGAUUUUUCUGCACAUGUUCCCCUCUCUAACUCAAAACCGUGAGCAACCCAUCCAUUUUCACCUCCAUUUUCUUCCUUUUUCAUCCAUUUUCAUGCCCAAAUCAACCAUUCAAACUAAUACCCAUGCAUUUCAUCUUCAUUAAACACUUCUCCAUCAUGAUUUCUUCACUUGUUUUUCAUCAUUUCAUCUUCAUCUCUCACGCGUGAACAGUACCUCACCAUUUCUCUCUCAAAAUUCUUCAUCUUUCACUCAUUUUCUUGUUAAAAUCAAUCAUCCAAAUCAUUAUUCAUCCAUUACUCCUUCAAUUUUCGUUCUCAAAACUUCAUUUCAUCAACUCUCCACAUAAAACCCAAAAUCAAAAACCUAAUUACCCGUUUCUCUCUCUACAUUUUCAAGCUUCCUUUAGCCCAUUUUUGAUCCAAUCUACAUCAUAUAUUAGCGUCAUUCAUCUCUAGGAUCAAUUUUCUUAGCUCAAACAAAUCCAUUUCACUCAAUUUUUGUUAAACCCGAAAUUGCAUAUUUAAGCUCUUUUUAAUCCACUUUUGAUCCAAUCAAUACCAUCCAUUAUCUUAAAUCAUCUCUUGGAUCAAUAUAAUCGGUUUAAAAUCAUUCAUUUCACUCAUUAUUUUACAAAACCGAAUUUGUGCAUUUUGGGUAUAUGCACCUACAUUUUCAUAUGCAUAAUUAUGGAUUACGGAUUAUGGUUGUUUAAUAUUUGGAUAUGUUAUAUUUGGAUGAUGUUUUAUGCUUAAUUCUUAUGUGUUGCUUGAUUACUUGGUGGAGUUGUUGGUUUGUUAUAAUUGUUUAAACUUAUAUGGAAGUGUUUUUAACCAUGUUGUGUAUUUGAAGAUUUGUUCAUUUUAAGGGGAGACUUUGUCGAAAUUUUUGUUCGCACAAAAUUGGUAAUAUCUUUAUCGAUUUAUUUUUUAUGCUCUUGUUUCGAUUGCAUCUAUCUAUUUUUUUUAUGAAGGGGGAGAUAAAUAUGACAUGUUUUUGGAUAAUAUCAUUUUGGUUAAAUUUUUUAAUUGGCCAUAUAUUUAGGGGGAGCAUACAAUAUGUUUUUGGAUAAUAUGCAUUUUGAGCAUUCUUUUGAUGGCAUGAUGGUUCAUGAUAAUUUUAUGGUUAAUUGGAUGUUUGGUUAUUAUAUGUUUCUUGAUUAACCAUUGACAUAUUUUUGAUCUUAGCAUGAAUUUCUAGUAAUUUUGAUGAUGAAGGGGGAGAAGUCAUGUAUUUUGAAUAUGAAGACAUGUAAUAUGUAGUUUGUAUUUCAAGUAUUUAUGCAUGUUUUUGAAAUAUUAAUGGGGAGCUUACAAAUUAUCAUAAAUCAAAUAUUCAGGGGGAGUUUUUGUUUUGAAUUUGAUUUAUAUGUUUAAUUAUAUAUGCCAUGUAUUAAGUGGGAGUAUAAAUGUCAAAAUAUAUGAGAUGUUUGUCAUCAUCAAAAAGGGGGAGAUUGUUAGCCUAAAGGGCUGUACAUAAUGUAAUUUUGAUGAUAACAAACAUAUGUAUUGAAUGAUUUAAUAAAUAUUAUAUUUCACAUUUUCACUAGUUUUUGAAGGAUAAUAUUUAUGCAAGUGAAUCAAGUGAAAUCAAGAUUGAAGACACUCAACGGACAACGACGACAUCAAGAAUAUCGUUUAAAGCUUAACGAACAAAUUAGUGCGAUAAAUUCUUGUAAAGCCGGUAUGAUUUAAUUGAUGCAUGAUUUAGCAUUUGAGAAGCUCAAGAGAUUAAUUUAAUUAAAUACUUUUCAUAAACUAAAAGGUUUUGUUUUUAUAAAGUAAAGUAUUUUGUGGAUUUGAGUAAAUUGGACUUAAAUGCUAAGAUUUGAAAUCUUUGAUUUUAAUAAGUAUUAAAAUUUGGAGUUGGACGUUUUUACAAACAUUUGAAAUGUUUUGGGCCAUACUAUAAUUUAUGAAUAUUUUGGACUAAAGUGAAAGGUUUUGAGAACUUUGAAAAAUAUAGGUAUUAUGUUGAAAAGGACCUUUGUGUGAAACAAUAAAAUCUUUGGGGCCAUAUCAUAAUUUCAGAAAGUUUGAGAAAGACAACUAUUUUUAUGAAGUUCUGAAAUUGGACCUAUUUGCAAAGUUUUUUGACGUUUUGGGCCAUAGUAUAAUUAUAGAAAGUUUUGGGCUAAAGUGUAAUUUUAGUGAACAAUAUUACUGUAGCAAAAUUCAAAAAUAACGGUAAUAUUACUGUUCCUGAGCGGCUAGCCGGAUAAUCAAGCGGUUAACCGCUUGAGCGCUAGAAUUUGCCUAUAACGGCUAGUUUUUGGGCUUUCACUAUAAAAACUCGACUCAAACUUCAUUUUAAGAACUAACACAAGCAAAUUUAAGAUCUUAUAACAUAUGUUGAGCUUCCAUUUCGUAAAUCAUCAUUUGUUGAAUCAUCAUUGAGCUAUAAUUUGUUAUUCACUCUUCAAGAGAGUUUUAUUGUUGUGAAUUUCAUUUCUCAUCAAUUUGUGAGUGUACAAGUGUGGGAAACACUUGGGGUGAAGAGAUUGGGGAUAUAAUCUCUUGUUGUAAAGGUUUAUUGACACCUUGGAAGUCAAUUGUAAACAUUUGAAGCCUUGAGAGGCUUGGAUAGUGAAAUCCUCGAGCUCGGUUGGCUUGGAGGCGUGGACGUAGGCGGGGAUAGCCGAACCACGUAAAAAUCCUUGUAUUCGUUUUCUCUUCCCUUACUCUUUUAAUAUUGUGCUUGAAUGAAUUUAUUGUUUUGAUUUGAUUAAGGCAAUAUAUUAAAUUGUUGUGCGAAUUGUAUUGCAUAAAUUUUUAAUAUCCCAAUUCACCCCCCCUCUUGGGUUGCAUAACCUGCAUUUCAGCAUCUUCGAGUAAACAAUUCAAAAACAUUUGUAUGCUUUCUGGAUUUCACUAUGGAAAGUACAAAGAGUUUGUUCAGGCAGCAGUAGAUCUUGGUCGUGUGAUAGCAGAGAGGAAACUACAUCUUGUAUAUGGAGGAGGUGAACGAGGGUUAUCAAGACUUGUCUCAGAAGCUGUUUUUACUAGAGGAAACCAAGUACUAGGCAUUAUCCCAAAAGCCAUGAAACCGCUAAUGUGCAUGUCUGGCCCACCAAUUAGAGAAGAAUUAAUGGUAUCAAGUAUGCAAGAGAGAAUAUCUGAAAUGAUGAAUCAUGCUGAUACUUUUAUUUUCUUGCCAGGAGAUCUUGCAACUUUUGAGGUACUGAUUACAUUUGUAUCUUGGGCCCACUUGAACAUUAAUCAAAAACCCAUCGGUUUGUUAAAUGUUAAUAAUUUUUAUGACAGCUUGCUAACUUUUAUUAACCAUGCAAUAAAGAAUCAUUUUGUUCCAUACUCUGUAAAAAAACUCUUUAUCUCUGCUUCUACUGUUAAUGAGUUACUUGAUCUUUUACAAGCUUAUACACCAGAGCCAGAUCCAAAGACUUUUGCACUGAAUUGAUCGACUAAUGAUGGUAGCGGUAAUAGUAGUAGUAAUAAUAAGUGCGAAUUAGAUUUAACUCUCCAUCUGUAAAUAUUUUCUGUUGCAGUGUUUAUGUACUGUCUUCUAAACUCUUUCUCUUUCCUUUUAAAACAUUGAAGACAAUGUCUUUUUCAGGUUGGGGGGGGGNNNNNNNNNNNNNNNNNNNNNNNNNNNNNNNNNNNNNNNNNNNNNNNNNNNNNNNNNNNNNNNNNNNNNNNNNNNNNNNNNNNNNNNNNNNNNNNNNNNNAGCCUAGUGAUGCGUUUAAAAAAAAGAAUAAUUUUUUUUUUCUGUAAAAACUAACUUUGGACUAAAUUUGAGUCGAAGAUGGCUGGAUAUAUGUUAACAUAAAUAUGUUAAUAAUAUUGAUUUUGAUGAUAACAAAUUUUAAAUGUAUUUUGACAAAAAUAUUGGAGCUAUUUUUUAAUAAACGAAAACUCUUUUAAUCAUUGUCUUAUUUCUUCAUAAAAGAUGGAUUUUCAAAUUAGAAAGAAAUUCUCUGCAAAAACUUGUUUAAAAUUGCAACUCUGGUCAUAAACGGUGAACCGUUUAUUUUAAACGGUUAACCGAUUAAAGGCAGAGAGUAACACAUUUCCUUAACCUCUAACCGUUUAUAGAAAAUGGAAAACACCCAAGAUGGGAAGGUUACUGGAAACUAACGGUGAACCGUUUAUUAUUAAACGGUUAACCGAUUAUCACCAGAGAGCAUCAUAUUGCCUAAGCUCUAGCUGUUUAUGCUUAACGGAAAACACCCAAGAUAGGAAGGCUACUGGAAACUAACGGUGAACCGUUUAUCUUUAAACGGUUAACCGAUAACGUCCAGAAUUGAAGGUUGUCCGCCUCUGGUAUUGAUUAACUGAUGUUCAUUGUGCAGGUUACUGGAGACAAACGGCUAACCGUUUAUUGUAAACGGUUAACCAAUAAUAUCCAGAAACGUUACUUCAUGCAAGGCCUUAACCGUUUAGUGUAAACGGAUGUCCAAUGCUCAUUUUGCAAGACUCUGGAAGUUAACGGUGAAAGGGCAAUACUAAACGGUUAACCGAUAAUAUCCAGAAACGUUACUUCAUGCAAGGCCUUGACCGUUUAGUGUAAACGGAUGUCCAAUGCUUAUCUUGCAAGACUCUAGAAGUUAACGCUGAAAGGGCAAUCCUAAACGGCAAACCGUUUAUUUGAAAUCUGGCCCAACGGUAACUUUGACCAGCCUAAACGGUUAACCGUUAAUGGUUAACGGUGAACCAUUUUCUGUCCGACAGUUUGUAACGGCUAGAUUUUCAGUUCCAAAUAUAAAUAAGCUCAUUCAACUUCAAAGAAGAUUUGAUCACAACAUAACCAUUUGAGCUAAUAUUCGAGAAUACAAUCUUCAUAGAGCUUAGAACACAUUCUUGCUUCAUCUAUUCACAUAUUAAGCAUCAUUGAGUUAUCUUGUAUAUUGUGAGAGGCAAAACAAAUUUGUAAUCUUUUACUUUGAGUGAUUGUAAGUGUUGGGAUACACUUGGGUUAAGAGAUUGGGGAUAAUCUCUUGUUGUAAAGGUCCAUUGACACCUUGGAAGUCAAGUGUAAGCAUUUGAAGCCUUGGAGGCUUGCUUAGUGGAAUCCUCAAGCCCGGAAAGCUUGGAGGCAUGGACAUAGGCGAGGUUGGCCGAACCACAUAAAAAUCUCGUGUUUGAAUCUCUCUUCCCUUACCUUUUUAUAUUGUGAUCAUCUUAAUUAUUAUUGCUUUGAAUUUGAGUUAUAAUUGCAUUAAGAUUUUCUUUAUUAUUGAAUAAUUUUUUAGAAUCCCAAUUCACCCCCCCUCUUGGGUUGCUUACUUGUAUUUCAAUUGGUAUUAGAGCCUCGUUCUCUUGUUAAGACUUAAUCGUCUAGAGUAAAAGAUCCAUGGCAACCCUAAAUGACUCAACCUUUAGAGAAGGGCAAUCCACAACUAGACCACCAUUUUUUGAUGGUAAUGAUUAUGCUUAUUGGAAAACUAGAAUGAGAAUCUAUUUGCAAGCCUUAGAUUAUGAAAUUUGGGAAGUUGUUUGUGAUGGUCCAUUCAUGCCUACGUUCAAAGAUGAAGUAGGAGAUGAUAUUCCUAAACCAUCGAGUCAAUGGAGUGAGUUAGAAAAGAGAAAGAUGUCUCUAAACUCCAAGGCUAUGAAUGCAUUGUUUUGUGCCCUUGAUAAGAAAGAAUUCCAUAGAGUAUCUAGUUGUGAAAGUGCACAAGAGAUAUGGAACAAACUUGAAGUUGUCUAUGAAGGGACAAAUCAAGUGAAAGAGUCUAAAAUCAGUAGAUACACUCGCCAAUAUGAGUUGUUCCAAAUGGAACAAAAUGAAAAUGUGUAUUCUAUGUACACUAGAUUCACAGACAUAGUGAACACCUUAGGUGCUUUAGGGAAAACCUUCUCAAAUAGUGAGAAAGUUAAGAAAAUCAUUAGGUCACUUCCAAAAGAAUGCAGACCUAAAAGAACUGCUAUUGAAGAGGCCAAAGAUUUAAAUACUUUACCUCUUGAUGAUUUAAUUAGUUCUCUUAUUUCGUAUGAAGAGGAUUUAGCUGCAGAAAAAGGACAUGAGGAGAAGAAGAAAAGCAUUGCUCUCAAAGCUUCAAAAUAUGAGAGUGAUGGGAAGAGUGAACCGAAUGAUGAAGAGCUAGCCAUGCUAGCAAGGAGGUUCAGAAAAUUCUUCAAGAAAACCGGAGAGCGAAGAAAUUUCAGAAACUUCAAGAAUCAUAGGGAGAAGAAGGAGGCAAUCACUUGCUAUGAAUGCAAGAAGCCUGGACAUAUAAGAUCGGAGUGCCCACUUAUCAACAAACUCAAGAAGAAAGCAAUGGUUGCAACUUGGGAUGAUAGUGAGGAAGAAUCAAAUGAUGAAGAAGGAUCGCAAGAAGUAUCAAACCUAGCACUCAUGGCAAUAGGAGGGGAUGAUGAUCUCAAUGAAGUAAGUGAUCCUACCUAUGAUGAAUUGUAUGAUGCUUUUCAAGAUUUGCAUAAUGAGUUGAUGAAAAUUGGUAAAAAGAAUGUAUGUCUUAAAAAGGAAAUGGCAAAGCUCAAAUGAAAAUGAAUCUCUAAAUGCAAGAAUUGUAUGCCUAGAAGUAGGAAACAAAACAUUGCAUGAUGAAAUUGCAUUAUCAAAUGAGAAACCUAGCAUCUCACAUGAGCAUUUGAAAUCACACAUAGAUGAGCUGAAAAAUGAGAACGAAUUACUCAAGAAAAAGAAUAAUGAAUUGAAUGAAAUUGUUCUGAAAUUUACAAAUGGGCAAAAGAUGUUGGAUAAUAUGCUUAACUCACAAAAAUGUGUUUUUGAUAAAGGAGGACUUGGAUAUAAGCCAAACUUGAAGCAAAAGUAUUAUAAGAAUUAUUUUGUUAAAGCUACCUCCACAAAUGAUCAUAAGAUUGUAUGUCAUUAUUGUAAUCAAAAUGGUCAUAUGAAAUUUAGAUGUCCCGUAAAAAGGAAUGCAUAUUAUGGUGUCAAGUGCAUUUGGGUUCCAAAAGGAACCGUUGCUAACUCUCAAGGACCCAAAAAGCUUUGGGUACCUAAAACUUGAGACUUUUUCUUGUAGGGCUUGAAGAAGAAGAAGAAUAAAUGGUACUUGGACAGCGGUUGUUCAAGGCACAUGACCGGAAACUAUGCAUGGUUCUCAAGCUUUACCAAAAUUGAAAAUGGUGGAGACGUAUCCUUUGGAGACAACUCAAAAGGAAAAAUUCUUGGAAUUGGAAAUGUUGGUAAAGUUUCUUCAACUCUAAUUGAGAAUGUAUGUUUGGUUGAAAACUUGAAACACAACUUAAUUAGCAUUAGUCAAUUAUGUGACAAAGGUUAUAAAGUUAUCUUUGAUAAAUUUAGUUGUGUUAUUGAGAACCAUGUGAUGGCAAAACUUUAUUUGUUGGAAAUAGAUGUGGUAAUGUUUAUAUCAUUGACAUAGAAUGUGCAUCUACUCUUAAUAAAUGUUUUUCGGCAUUGCAUGAUGAUUGUUGGUUAUGGCAUAGAAGGUUAGGACACGCAAGUAUGGAUUUGAUUUCAAAAAUUUCGAAAGAUAAUUUAGUUAAAGGUCUUCCGAAAAUUGGUUUUCAAAAGGAUACGAUUUGUGAAGCUUGUCAAUUUGGAAAACAAAUUAAAACUUCUUUCAAGAAUAAAAAUCAUAUUUCUACUUCAAAACCACUUGAACUUCUUCACAUAGAUCUUUUUGGGCCAUCUAGAUAUGCAAGUCUAAAUGGCAAAUAUUAUGCUUUUGUGAUAGUGGAUGAUUAUUCUAGAUAUACAUGGGUAUUAUUCUUAGCCAAUAAGGAUGAUGCUCUUGAUGCUUUUAAAGUGCUUUGUAAGAAAUUACAAAAUGAAAAAGGGCAUGGUAUUGUAUGCAUUAGGAGUGAUCAUGGAGGAGAAUUUGAAAAUCAUGCAUUUGAGAGUUUUUGCAAUAAUCUAGGCAUUGAGCAUCAAUUUUCAUCACCUAGAACUCCACAACAAAAUGGAGUUGUUGAGAGAAAGAAUAGGUCUAUUCAAGAAAUGGCUAGGACCAUGUUAAAUGAAAAUGCAUUACCAAAAUAUUUUUGGGCCGAAGCUGUCAACACCGGUUGUUAUGUUUUAAAUCGGGUGUUGAUUAGACCUAAUCUUAACAAAACUCCUUAUGAGCUUUGGAAAGAUAGAAAACCCAACAUUGGCUAUUUUAAAGUUUUUGGAUGCAAAUGUUUUGUUUUGAACACAAAAGACAAUCUUGGUAAAUUUGAUCCAAAAUCCGAUGUUGGUAUCUUUCUUGGUUAUUCAAAUUCAAGCAAAGCUUAUAGAGUUUAUAACAAAAGAACUUUAGUUGUGGAGGAAUCUAUGCAUGUCACAUUUGAUGAGUCUAACCCCUCAUCUUCGGAGAAAGUCGUUGUUGAUGAUGAUGCAGGAAAAGAAGAACAAGAAGAAGAAGCAUCAAAUGACAAUCAAGAGGAUGCACCACAUGGAAUUCAAGAGGAACAUCAUGAAGAACCUAAUGUGGAGCAAAAUGAAGGUACUUCUCAAACACUCCCCAAGGAGUGGAGGUAUGUCUCUUCUCACCCUAAAGAUGUAAUUUUAGGAGAUCCCUCACGAGGUAUAACAACUAGAUCAUCACUUAGAAAUACUUGUGAGCAUAAUGCAUUCAUCUCUCAAAUUGAACCAAAAUCCUUUGAGGAUGCAGAAAAUGAUGAAUCUUGGAUUAUGGCAAUGCAAGAGGAGUUAAAUCAAUUUGAAAGAAAUAAUGUGUGGGAAUUAGUUCCUAAACCUGAACAUCAAUCUGUAAUAGGUACUAAAUGGGUGUUUAGGAAUAAGAUGGAUGAAUCCAGUGUGGUUGUAAGAAAUAAAGCUAGAUUAGUGGCUCAAGGCUACAACCAAGAAGAAGGAAUUGAUUUUGAUGAAACCUUUGCUCCUGUAGCAAGGUUAGAAUCCAUUAGGAUGUUAUUAGCAUAUGCAUGUCAUAAAGAUUUUAUUUUAUUUCAAAUGGAUGUGAAAAGUGCUUUCCUAAAUGGGUAUAUUAUGGAAGAAGUGUAUGUAAAACAACCCCCUGGUUUUGAAAAUGAAAAAUUUCCAAAUCAUGUUUAUAAGUUGCUUAAAGCUUUGUAUGGUUUAAAACAAGCACCUAGAGCAUGGUAUGAUAGACUUAAGAAUUUUCUGUUGGAAAAUGACUUUUCAAUGGGUAAAGCAGAUACUACUCUAUUUGUUAAGUAUAAGAACCAAGACAUACUUAUUGUUCAAAUUUAUGUUGAUGAUAUCAUUUUUGGUUCUACUAAUGAGUUGUUAUGUAAAGAAUUUUCAUCAUGUAUGAGCAAGGAAUUUGAGAUGAGUAUGAUGGGAGAGUUGAAAUACUUCCUUGGACUUCAAAUCAAACAAAACGAGGAAGGAAUUUUCAUAAAUCAAGCCAAGUACGUAAAGGAUCUACUCAAACGAUUCGGCAUUGAUGAUUCAAAGACCAAGAAUACACCAAUGAGCACAACAACCAAGCUGGACAAAGAUGAAAAAGGUAAAGAAGUGGACAUCAAAAUGUAUCGAGGUAUGAUCGGAUCCCUACUUUAUUUGACUGCAAGUAGACCCGAUAUCAUGUUUAGUGUAUGUUUGUGUGCAAGAUUUCAGUCAUGUCCCAAGGAAUCUCAUUUGCUCGCUGUUAAAAGAAUUUUCCGUUAUUUGAGUGGAACCAUAGAUAUUGGCCUUUGGUAUCCUAGGGGAACUCAUAUAGAUUUAACAUGUUUUUCGGAUGCGGAUUUUGCUGGUUAUAAAGUGGAUAGGAAGAGCACUAGUGGAACUUGCUAUAUUCUAGGACACUCUCUUGUUUCAUGGUUUAGCAAGAAACAAAAUUCUGUUGCACUUUCAACUAUCGAGAUUGAAUAUAUAGCUGCCGGAAGUUGUUGUGCACAAGCACUUUGGAUGAAACAAACACUUAGAGAUUAUGGCAUUAAUCUUGAACAAAUUCCUAUUAAGUGUGAUAAUACUAGUGCUAUAAAUCUUUCAAAGAAUCCCAUUCAACACUCUUGAACCAAACAUAUAGAAAUAAGACAUCAUUUUUUGAGAGAUCAUGUUCAAAAGGGAGAUAUUGCAUUAGAGUUUAUUUCCACAGAAAAACAACUUGCCGAUAUUUUCACAAAACCGCUUUGCGAACAACAAUUUUCAAAAAUUCGACAUGAACUUGGGAUGAUGAAAUUUUUGCAUUAACAUCUCUAUUCAUGCUAUUGAGUGUACUAAAUUGAUUGAUUAUUAUUUAUGAAAUGCUUGAGCUUGGUAGACAAAUGAUGAAUUUGCAUUGAUAUAUCUUGAUUAUAUGAAUUGAUUGGUUGAAAACAUGUUCAUGAAUCAUGAAUUAAAUUGGCUCAUAAAAUAUUUUCAGAUCAAUCAAAUGAUCUUGAAAUAUAUUAUUUGCUAGCCAAAAAUUAAAUCAAAUGUGCGAAAUUACAGAUAAAAUAAACGGUUAGCCGUUUCCCAUAAACGGAUCACCGUUUAAUUCCAGAAACGAGAUUGUGUGUCUGUCCAGUUACCCUUUCACCGUUUGCCACAAUCGGUGAACCGUUUUUCAACAGCGAGUCCUCUAACAGUUACUCCUUAGCUGUUAUGCAUUUAAGCCUUCACCAUUACCUUUAUUCUUAGUCCCUGGGAGUUACUCUUUAACCGUUUAAAUAAACGGUUAACCGUUUUCGCGAAAUAUAUAAACUGUUCAAAGCUUUUCUUCUCCUUCUCCAGUUACCCUCUCACCGUUUCCUCCAUUGUUGCGCAGCCGAAGGUCUUCUUAUCCUCAAAUCCUCAUUUUUCUUGCUUUUCGUGCCAAAUCAAACCCUCAAAAUCAUUUCUUGUCACCUUUAGACCAUUUCUACCGAUUCAAAAAUCCCAAAUCUAAACCCUAACUGUCGCGGGUCGGGUUUCUUCGUUCUUAAUCCGAUUUCCACCUUUCUUCAACCAAAUUGAACAUCCUACUCACAUCCUCUACUCUUUCUUAAACCUUUUAUCGAUUUACUUUCGUCCCAUUACGUGUUUCCAUGGUUGAACCCUCUCGGAGAAAUCUCAGGCGUAAAUCUGUGCCUCCAAGGAAUCCCAUACCACCUCGGGAGGUCUCUGAAUUUUCAAGGAUUCACUUCCCCACACCUGUCUUGGCUAAGCGGUUCGAAGAUCGCUUUGAUGGUUGAAAGGUACUUGAAUCCUUCUUUGUUGACAUUGGUGAUUUUCGUAAUUUGGUUGUAUGUGGUAGAAGUAUUCGGGAUAUGCUUCAGCCUUGGGAGUCUGGCAUUGAUUUUGAUGACCGAGUUUAUCCAAAUUUAGUGCGAGUCUUUUACUCCAACAUGGAAAUCUCUGAUACUCGCCCAAAUAGGAUAGUCACUCAAGUCGGCCGUGUACCCAUAGAAUUUGAUGAUGCGGACUUAGCUGACUUUCUAGGUAUCUCUUGCGAGGGGAUUGACAUUUACACCUCUAGGAAAGCCCUCUCCUUUGAUACUUUUUCUCAUACUCAUGGCGUCCGUAAUAUAUGUCGUCGUCGUGACUUAUCGGAUAAGAUUUGUUUGCUUCCGUUUCGGUCUCAACUUUUACCUCUCCAAGUUCGUAUUCUACACACUAUUUUACAGCACAUAGUGACUCAUAGGAAGGGUCACUCGGAUGAGGUUACGAGGUUGGACGUUGCCUUAUUGGAUAGCCUUCUUACAGACCGUCCCAUUAACCUCGGGUAUAUUAUUGUGCGACAUAUGCUGAGUACUCCAGCGGUCAACCACCGCUUGCUUCCUUAUGGCAGUAUCUUUACUAAAAUACUACGACACUUUGAGGUGCCACUUCUUGAUACUGGACAUAUGGAGACUCGACGGAUUGGUCCCGAGGCUAUGACCAGUAUCGGAUUCUCUAGGAAGAAUGGAGUGUGGAUAAAGACAAGCAACUCCAAAAACCGAGAUACCUUGAUUGCUGCAAAGGAUGAUCGGAUGUUCAAUGAUAUCUAUCGUCCCGAUCAGCUUCCUGACUUUAGACUACGCGCUCAUUCUCAUCCUCCGCGUCGCUGUUUUGUUCCUCAGCCUCCAGCUGACUCAGACUCUAAGGAGCGUGCGAUGGAUGCUGACAUUCCCUCCUCUUCCGAGCCGCCUCCUGCUCCUGAGCCUUUUGCUAUUCCCGAGCAGCCAUCUACCUCUAUGCCACCUCCAGCUCCAGUUCAGCCUCCUGCUUCAGAUGCCGUGCAGCAGCUGAUCACUGAUGUUCAGCAGAUUUCGGAGCGCCAGCAGCUGAUUCUUGAUCGGUUGGACACUCUUUCCCGUGACCACCAGCAGCUGCGUUCUGACUUUCAGAUAUUCCAGCGGCAGAGCCUUGAUUAGCAGAUGGAGCUUAUCGCUGGACAGCGCACUAUUCUCGGCUAUUUCGGCUAUGAUCCGGGGAGCACAUCUUCUCCGCCUCCGUAGUUUUUUUUUCUUUUUUUUUUUGAGCUUUGUCCUCGCACAUACAUUUUACAUUUUGGUUGCUAGCAUUUUUAUUAUUAUUUUGAUUUUGAUGCAUAUGUGUGUGAUGUUCUUGAUGAUGAGAUUAUUGAUGCUUUGUGAUUGCCUAAUUGGUUGGAUAUUGUAGAAAUGGUUUAUUUGUGGAUAUUGGAGUGUUGGUAUAUUUGUGGAUAUUGAAGUGUUAUUUUGUCUUGUUUAUGGAGUUGUUGGCUUGUUGAAAGCGGAAGUUAAUGUUGAUCUAAUUUUGGAAGUGUUUUUAUCUCAUUUUGUAUUUAUCUUUUAUAUUUUUAAGGAGAAACUCUGCCAAAUUUUUCGCUUGCCAAAACCGGGCACUUUCUUUAACGGAUUUGCGUAUUUCUUAUUUCCUCUUUUCUUUUUGAUGAUGAAGGGGGAGAUAAUUUAUGGUUUUUAAGAUGAUUUUUUUAAUGAGAAAUAUUUUUUAUGGAUUUAAAAUGGGGAGAUUUAAAGCAAGAAUCCUUUUAUUCACAUUUCUCAAUUUGGCCAUACAUGUAGGGGGAGCACAUAUUAAGGGGGAGCUAAAACAUUGAAUGAAAUUUGUCAUCAUCAAAAAGGGGGAGAUUGUUAACAUAAAUAUGUUAAUAAUAUUGAUUUUGAUGAUAACAAAUUUUAAAUGUAUUUUGACAAAAAUAUUGGAGCUAUUUUUUAAUAAACGAAAACUCUUUUAAUCAUUGCCUUAUUUCUUCAUAAAAGAUGGAUUUUCAAAUUAGAAAGAAAUUCUCUGCAAAAACUUGUUUAAAAUUGCAACUCUGGUCAUAAACGGUGAACCGUUUAUUUUAAACGGUGAACCGUUUAUUUUAAACGGUGAACCGUUUAUUUUAAACGGUUAACCGAUUAAAGGCAGAGAGUAACACAUUUCCUUAACCUUUAACCGUUUAUGGAAAACGGAAAACACCCAAGAUGGGAAGGUUACUGGAAACUAACGGUGAACCGUUUAUUAUUAAACGGUUAACCGAUUAUCACCAGAGAGCAUCAUAUUGCCUAAGCUCUAGCCGUUUAUGCUUAACGAAAAACACCCAAGAUAGGAAGGCUACUGGAAACUAACGGUGAACCGUUUAUCUUUAAACGAUUAACCGAUAACGUCCAGAAUUGAAGGUUGUCCGCCUCUGGUAUUGAUUAACUGAUGUUCAUUGUGCAGGUUACUGGAGACAAACGGCUAACCGUUUAUUGUAAACGGUUAACCGAUAAUAUCCAGAAACGUUACUUCAUGCAAGGCCUUAACCGUUUAGUGUAAACGGAUGUCCAAUGCUCAUCUUGCAAGACUCUGGAAGUUAACGGCGAAAGGGCAAUACUAAACGGUUAACCGAUAAUAUCCAGAAACGUUACUUCAUGCAAGGCCUUGACCGUUUAGUGUAAACGGAUGUCCAAUGCUUAUCUUGCAAGACUCUGGAAGUUAACGGCGAAAGGGCAAUCCUAAACGGCAAACCGUUUAUUUGAAAUCUGGCCCAACGGUAACUUUGACCAGCCUAAACGGUUAACCGUUAAUGGUUAACGGUGAACCGUUUUCUGUCCGACAGUUUGUAACAGCUAGAUUUUCAGUUCCAAAUAUAAAUAAGCUCAUUCAAAUUCAAAGAAGAUUUGAUCACAACACAACCAUUUGAGCUAAUAUUUGAGAAUACAAUCUUCAUAGAGCUUAGAACACAUUCUUGCUUCAUCUAUUCACAUAUUAAGCAUCAUUGAGUUAUCUUGUAUAUUGUGAGAGGCAAAACAAAUUUGUAAUCUUUUACUUUGAGUGAUUGUAAGUGUUGGGAUACACUUGGGUUAAGAGAUUGGGGAUAAUCUCUUGUUGUAAAGGUCCAUUGACACCUUGGAAGUCAAGUGUAAGCAUUUGAAGCCUUGGAGGCUUGCUUAGUGGAAUCCUCAAGCCCGGAAAGCUUGGAGGCGUGGACGUAGGCGAGGUUGGCCGAACCACAUAAAAAUCUCGUGUUUGAAUCUCUCUUCCCUUACCUUUUUAUAUUGUGAUCAUCUUAAUUAUUAUUGCUUUGAAUUUGAGUUAUAAUUGCAUUAAGAUUUUCUUUAUUAUUGAAUAAGUUUUUAGAAUCUCAAUUCACCCCCCCUCUUGGGUUGCUUACUUGUAUUUCAAUAUAGAGAGUGCAGUACCUCUAGAAACACAUCUUUUUAAAUUAGAGUUGACUAACUUAGGACAAAUUUGAGUCGAAGAUGGCAGGAUAUAGAGAAUGUAGUACCUCUAGAAACGCAUCUUCUUAAUCUUAAGAGUGUUGUUUUAAAAAAAAAUUGACGUUUUCUUGUUCUUUAUUAUCCGCUUUUAAGCUUCUGCAUCAAGUUCAGGUGAGAUCUCCUCCUUUUCUUCUUUUAUUAUUAUUUUUUUUUUGCAUAUUUGUAAAAUUAUAAAAUGUUAAGAAAAUGUUUAGAUUAGGUUGGGGGUUGGGGAUAGUUGACGUAUGUUUUUAAAUAUGUGUGUUGUUUUUCUCUUUUCUCUUUUCUUUUCUUUGUUUAAAAAAAAACCCAAAAAAAAUUAUUUUUAUCUAGGAUGGAUGUGUAAAGAGUCACGACUUUUGAGACGCAUCCUAAUAAUCUUGUUGUAUUAUAUUUUGAUUUUGAAAUUCAUAGUAAAUUGUUUUUGUUCUCUUUUCUUUGAAUUACUCGAAUUUGUGAACUCUCCACUUGGUUAUUAAGUUAUUUAAUUGUUUACUCAUUUAACAGGUAUUAUUGAAUCAUUCUUCACACAUACACUAUGACACAUACUAGUGGGUUGUAAGUUAAAAUUUUACAGCAUUUAGUUCUUUUGAUUUAUUAGGAAUAAUGUCUUAUGUAAUAGAAAUUGUAUAUUGCAAAAAAAAAACAAAAAACAAAAACAAAAAAAUAUUUUUAAUUUUGCUAUAUCUAGAACCCGAGUAAUUAAGUCCGUAGGAGUGUUUCAACACCUAGUGCCCUAAGGUCAACUGGUCUGGAAGUCACUAGCCUAAAGCUCGCUAUAUGGGUAAUAGAUAUAUUAUUUGUUUAUUAUAAACCCGAGUAAUUAAGUCCGUAGGAGUGUUUCAACACCUAGUGCCCUAAGGCCAACUGGUAUGGAAGUCACUGACCUAAAGCUCGCUACAUGGAUUAGAAAUGUAAUAUUUUAAAAAUAUGUGUGAAUAAUCUACUGCGUAAAGAUAUAAUUUCUAAUGAAUUUUGGAACGAAAAUGUUGUUUUUCUUUUAAUGAAGCCCCAUAAGUAUUGUGUUAAUUAUUUGAGCACAAAAGAAGGUUUGAUGAUAUUCUGGAUAAUGAAUGAACAUCAAUGUGGUAAAGAAAUUUAGGAGAGUUCAUUUAUUUGGUAGUUUAGAGGAUAGAUGAACAACUAUUAACUUGCAUGUGAAUUUUGUAAAUCUUAAUUUAAUAUAAUACUUUAAUUGCUAGGCGGCUAACAAUAAGCUGGUUGGAGGGUGUGAUUAGUAUUAAAAAUUGUUUAAUUAUCAAGCGAUAAUAUAUUAUUUUAUGCUUAUGUUAUAAUUUAUAUUUGUGUUUAUGUAAUAUAUUAGGAAUUAUUAAUUACGCUUUAAAUAUAUUUAAUUUUGUGUAUUUUUAUGUGUUUAUUAGGAAAAAUAUUAAUUUUACGUAAUUCGAGGUCAAAUUUCGAUUCCGGAGGUCCGAAAACCUUAAGAUCAGUCAAGAUCGGCUUAAAAUUGGGCUUGUGUAAAAAAAAAAAUUGAUUUUUCCGAUUGACCGAGCACUGAUUGGAUGAUGAAAUGAGCUUACAAUAGAUGAGUGCAUGGGAUAGCUGGCUGUUUUGACUAAAUCUCAACCGUUCAUGAUUCAAUGGCCAUGAUUGUGCCACGUGGCAAUAGUUGGUGAAGCAAGUUGUAGGAUUCGAAUCUUUGUUUUCGGGUCAGCUCGAUCCACCCAUUAACCCGCCAAAUCUCAACCGUUCUUUGGCCAAAUCGAACGAGUCAAAUGAUGCCACAUGUGAUGUUGACUUUUGAAGUUUGACCAGACGUUGGAUCUUGAUCUAAUGGUUGUGAGGAGCACAUGCAUGAAGUUUAUGAUGGACCACAAAGCACUGGAUUAUGAAUUUAUUUUCUAUAAAUAGAGCCUCAUUUUUAUGUUUUUAAUCAUCUCUCUACAACUCUCUUCUUCUCAAAUUCUCUCAAUCUCCCUGUAAUCUUGAUUUUCAGGUGUGUGUGUGUGUUUUUUUU